rnacentral:rRNA from 1 species
CACGUAGGCACCAAGCGUUGUCCGGAUUUAUUGGGCGUAAAGAGCUCGUAGGCGGUUCAGUAAGUCGGGUGCGAAAACUCUGGGCUUAACCCAGAGCCGCCACCCGAUACUGCUGUGACUAGAGUCCGGUAGGGGAGUGGGGAAUUCCUAGUGUAGCGGUGAAAUGCGCAGAUAUUAGGAGGAACACCGGUGGCGAAGGCGCCACUCUGGGCCGGAACUGACGCUGAGGAGCGAAAGCGUGGGUAGCAAACAGG